rnacentral:rRNA from 1 species
GUAACGCGUAUGGAAUCUACCUUAUACAGGGGGAUAGCCCGAAGAAAUUCGGAUUAAUACCCCAUAGUUCAGUUGAUAUCGCAUGAUAUUACUGAUAAAGCAUUAGCGGUAUAAGAUGACCAUGCGUAUGAUUAGCUAGUUGGUGAGGUAACGGCUCACCAAGGCAACGAUCAUUAGGGGUUCUGAGAGGAAGAUCCCCCACACUGGUACUGAGACACGGACCAGACUCC